rnacentral:rRNA from 1 species
GACGAACGCUGGCGGCGUGCUUAAUACAUGCAAGUCGAGCGAAAAGGCGAGGAGCUUGCUCCUUUGUCGAGAGCGGAGCGGGGGUGAGUAACAUGUGUAUCCCCUCCUUAUAUGUCGGGUAUAACCUCGGGACACCGGCGCAAAUACCGUAUAAUAUCUUGAUCCACAUGGUUCAUUAGAGAAAUACGGUGUUUCUGUCUGUAAUCGCUGCAUCUCCGCCGCAUUAGCUGGUUGGUAAGGUAACGGCUUACCAAGGCAAGGAUGCGUAGCCGACCUGAGAGGGUGAUCGGCCACACUGGAACUGAGACACGGUCCAGACUCCUACGGGAGGCAGCAGUAGGGAAUCUUCCGCAAUGGGCGAAAGCCUGACGGAGCAACGCCGCGUGAGUGAUGAAGGUCUUCGGAUCGUAAAACUCUGUUAUUAGGGAAGAACAAAUGUGUAAGUAACUAUGCACGUCUUGACGGUACCUAAUCAGAAAGCCACGGCUAACUACGUG